rnacentral:misc_RNA from 1 species
GAAAGAACAGUAGCGAAAUGCGAUAAGUAAUGUGAAUUGCAGAAUUCAGUGAAUCAUCGAAUCUUUGAACGCACAUUGCGCCCCCUGGUAUUCCGGGGGGCAUGCCUGUUCGAGCGUCAUUUCACCACUCAAGCCUCGCUUGGUAUUGGGCAACGCGGUCCGCCGCGUGCCUCAAAUCGUCCGGCUGGGUCUUCUGUCCCCUAAGCGUUGUGGAAACUAUUCGCUAAAGGGUGUUCGGGAGGCUACGCCGUAAAACAACCCCAUUUCUAAGGUUGACCUCGGAUCAGGUAGGGAUACCCGCUGAACUUAAGCAUAUCAAUAAGCGGAGGA